rnacentral:rRNA from 1 species
ACGCUGGCGGCGUGCCUAACACAUGCAAGUCGAGGGGUAGCACGGAGGAAGCUUGCUUCCUUGGGUGACGACCGGCGCACGGGUGAGUAACGCGUAUCCGACCUACCCAUAACACGGGCACAGCCGCUCGAAAGAGUGAUUGAUUCCCGAUAUGUCUUUAGAGUAGAUUUAAAGAUGAAAGAUUUAUCGGUUAUGGAUGGGGAUGCGUAAGAUUAGGUAGUAGGCGGGGUAACGGCCCACCUAGCCGACGAUCUUUAGGGGUUCUGAGAGGAAGGUCCCCCACACUGGUACUGAGACACGGACCAGACUCCUACGGGAGGCAGCAGUGGGGAAUAUUGGGCAAUGGGCGCAAGCCUGACCCAGCAACGCCGCGUGAAGGAAGAAGGCUUUCGGGUUGUAAACUUCUUUUGUCAGGGACGAAUAAAUGACGGUACCUGACGAAUAAGCCACGGCUAACUACGUG